CGACCUAUUGCUGCACUGUGACCGCACUUGCACCCACAUGAUGCACCAUGGGAACGACGUUCCAAGGACAGCCGGAGGGUAUGCCACGUCCCAGUUCAAUCAGGUACUAGGCUUUCCCAUCCCAUACUAGGUAUGAGAUUAGUAGUUUCAAACACUUGAUCACGAACGCCGACACGUUUCGACCUUUGUCACGCCCGGUUUUAAAGGUAAAACCGAAUGCUACCUAUAUGUAUGCCAGGAUCAAGUUUCAUACAUAUAGUGACAUCAUAAGUGAAUAACAGCAACAGUUUCACGUAAAAAGAUACAAAUAAAG
rnacentral:lncRNA from 1 species